rnacentral:rRNA from 1 species
AGUGAACGCUGGCGGUAGGCCUAACACAUGCAAGUCGAACGGCAGCACAGUGGAGCUUGCUCCUUGGGUGGCGAGUGGCGGACGGGUGAGGAAUACAUCGGAAUCUACUCUGGCGUGGGGGAUAACGUAGGGAAACUUACGCUAAUACCGCAUACGACCUACGGGUGAAAGCAGGGGAGCUUCGGACCUUGCGCGAGUGAAUGAGCCGAUGUCGGAUUAGCUAGUCGGCGGGGUAAAGGCCCACCAAGGCGACGAUCCGUAGCUGGUCUGAGAGGAGGAUCAGCCACACUGGAACUGAGACACGGUCCAGACUCCUACGGGAGGCAGCAGUGGGGAAUAUUGGACAAUGGGCGCAAGCCUGAUCCAGCCAUACCGCGUGGGUGAAGAAGGCCUUCGGGUUGUAAAGCCCUUUUGUUGGGAAAGAAAUCCAUCUGGUUAAUACCCGGGUGGGAUGACGGUACCCAAAGAAUAAGCACCGGCUAACUUCGUGCCAGCCGCCGCAGUAA